rnacentral:rRNA from 1 species
UACACAUGCAAGUCGGACGGAGUAGCAUACUUAGUGGCGGACGGGUGAGUAACGCGUAAGAAUCUAGCUUCAGGUUCGGGACAACAAUUGGAAACGAUUGCUAAUACCGGAUAUGCCUACGGGUAAAAGGCUUGCUGCCUGAAGAAGAGCUUGCGUCCGAUUAGCUAGUUGGUGGGGUAAAGGCUUACCAAGGCGGCGAUCGGUAGCUGGUCUGAGAGGAUGACCAGCCACACUGGGACUGAGACAAGGCCCAGACUCCUACGGGAGGCAGCAGUGGGGAAUUUUCCGCAAUGGGCGAAAGCCUGACGGAGCAAUACCGCGUGAGGGAAGAAGGCUCUUGGGUUGUAAACCUCUUUUCUCAGGGAAUAAAAAAAUGAAGGUACCUGAGGAAUAAGCAUCGGCUAACUCCGUGCCAGCAGCCGCGGUAAUACGGAGGAUGCAAGCGUUAUCCGGAAUGAUUGGGCGUAAAGCGUCCGCAGGUGGUACAACAAGUCUAGUGUCAAAGACCGGGGCUCAACCCCGGGAAGGCGGUGGAAACUGUUGAACUAGAGGGUCGUAGGGGUAGAGGGAAUUCCCAGUGUAGCGGUGAAAUGCGUAGAGAUUGGGA